CUCUAGCCCUGAUGUUAGCGGCAUCCUUUUGUGGCGGUCCCGAUAGCUAUCGGGAGCAGCAAAAGAUAUAGCGGACAGCAGGUUCCCGG
rnacentral:sRNA from 1 species